AGUUUGAUCCUGGCUCAGAUUGAACGCUGGCGGUAUGCUUAACACAUGCAAGUCGAACGGAAACGAUACUAGCUUGCUAGUAGGCGUCGAGUGGCGGACGGGUGAGUAACGCGUAGGAAUCUGCCUGAUAGUGGGGGAUAGCCCGAAGAAAUUCGGAUUAAUACCGCAUAAUCUAUUCGUAGUAAAGUGGGGGACUUUCGAGCCUCACGCUAUCAGAUGAGCCUGCGUAAGAUUAGCUAGUUGGUAGGGUAAAAGCCUACCAAGGCAACGAUCUUUAGCUGGUCUGAGAGGAUGAUCAGCCACAUCGGGACUGAGACACGGCCCGAACUCCUACGGGAGGCAGCAGUGGGGAAUAUUGGACAAUGGGGGCAACCCUGAUCCAGCAAUACCGCGUGUGUGAAGAAGGCCUGAGGGUUGUAAAGCACUUUCAAUUGUGAAGAAAAGUUAACGGUUAAUAACCGUUAGCCUUGACGUUAACUUUAGAAGAAGCACCGGCUAACUCCGUGCCAGCAGCCGCGGUAAUACGGAGGGUGCAAGCGUUAAUCGGAAUUACUGGGCGUAAAGCGUGCGUAGGCGGUUUAUUAAGUCAGAUGUGAAAGCCCCGGGCUUAACCUGGGAACUGCAUUUGAAACUGGUCAACUAGAGUAUGGUAGAGGAAAGUGGAAUUUCUGGUGUAGCGGUGAAAUGCGUAGAUAUCAGAAGGAACAUCAAUGGCGAAGGCAGCUUUCUGGACCAAUACUGACGCUGAGGUACGAAAGCGUGGGUAGCAAACAGGAUUAGAUACCCUGGUAGUCCACGCCGUAAACGAUGAUAACUAGCCGUUGGGGGGAUUUACCCUUUAGUGGCGAAGCUAACGCGUUAAGUUAUCCGCCUGGGGAGUACGGCCGCAAGGUUAAAACUCAAAGGAAUUGACGGGGACCCGCACAAGCGGUGGAGCAUGUGGUUUAAUUCGAUGCAACGCGAAGAACCUUACCUGGUCUUGACAUCCUGCGAACUUUCUAGAAAUAGAUUGGUGCCUUCGGGAACGCAGUGACAGGUGCUGCAUGGCUGUCGUCAGCUCGUGUCGUGAGAUGUUGGGUUAAGUCCCGUAACGAGCGCAACCCCUAUCCUUAUUUGCCAGCACGUCAUGGUGGGAACUAUAAGGAGACUGCCGGUGAUAAACCGGAGGAAGGCGGGGACGACGUCAAGUCAUCAUGGCCCUUACGACCAGGGCUACACACGUGCUACAAUGGGAAGGACAAAGAGCCGCGAAGCCGCGAGGUGUAGCUAAUCUCAGAAACCUUUUCGUAGUCCGGAUUGGAGUCUGCAACUCGACUCCAUGAAGUCGGAAUCGCUAGUAAUCGUAGAUCAGAAUGCUACGGUGAAUACGUUCCCGGGUCUUGUACACACCGCCCGUCAUACCAUGGGAGUGGGUUGCACCAGAAG
rnacentral:rRNA from 1 species